rnacentral:miRNA from 1 species
CCAAGAAUUACCCAGGGAUCUUGUAAAAAUGUAGAUUCAGUAGGUGUGGGAUUAAGACUGACAUUCUGUAUUUCUAACAAGAUCCCAGGUGAUACUGAU